CAGGGAAUCUUCGGCAAUGGACGGAAGUCUGACCGAGCAACGCCGCGUGAGUGAAGAAGGUUUUUGGAUCGUAAAGCUCUGUUGUAAGAGAAGAACGAGUGUGAGAGUGGAAAGUUCACACUGUGACGGUAUCUUACCAGAAAGGGACGGCUAACUACGUGCCAGCAGCCGCGGUAAUACGUAGGUCCCGAGCGUUGUCCGGAUUUAUUGGGCGUAAAGCGAGCGCAGGCGGUUAGAUAAGUCUGAAGUUAAAGGCUGUGGCUUAACCAUAGUACGCUUUGGAAACUGUUUAACUUGAGUGCAAGAGGGGAGAGUGGAAUUCCAUGUGUAGCGGUGAAAUGCGUAGAUAUAUGGAGGAACACCGGUGGCGAAAGCGGCUCUCUGGCUUGUAACUGACGCUGAGGCUCGAAAGCGUGGGGAGCAAACAGGAUUAGAUACCCUGGUAGUCCACGCCGUAAACGAUGAGUGCUAGGUGUUAGACCCUUUCCGGGGUUUAGUGCCGUAGCUAACGCAUUAAGCACUCCGCCUGGGGAGUACGACCGCAAGGUUG
rnacentral:rRNA from 1 species